GACAAUACCACAUGCAGAUGUUACAUGGAAUACAUGCAUAUGACAAUACCACAUGCAGAUGUUACAUGGAAUGCAUGUGUAUGACCACACCACAGGCAGACGUUACAUGGAAUGCAUGCAUAUGACCACACCACAUGCAGACAUUACAUGGAAUAUAGGCGUAUGACCACACCACAUGCAGACAUUACAAGGAAUGCAUGCGUAUGACAAUAUCACAUGCAGACAUUACACGGAAUGAAUGCGUAUGACCACUUUGUGUACAGACUUUACACGGAAUACUUGCAUAUGGCAAUACCACAUGCACAUGUUACACGGAAUGCAUGUGUAUGACAAUACCAUGUGCAGAUGUUACACGGAAUGCAGGCAUAUGACCACACCACAUGCAGACAUUACACGAAAUGCAGGCGUAUGACAACACUACAUGCAGAUGUUACAUGGAAGGCUCCAUCUGACACCCCUUGGGGAGGUCCAGGGACGUUAUUGUUUCCAGGAGCUUGGAGUGCAGAGCUCCGUCCUCACAGGCUACGUUUCCACAGAUGAAGCAGACGCAUUCCAAGGCAAACAGGUACAGUUGUGAAGGGAAAUUGGGAGCAUUCACCUGGAAACUCUAGAAGUCAUCGCUUGUGUGGGAAUUGAACAGGUCAUCCAGGGGGUUCUGGCAUGAGAACGUGGUAGAGUGGAUCAGCUCUGAGUUCACUUUUUCUGACUUCACUGCUUCUACUUAGAGGGCUGAGACCGAAGCUCAUGCGGCCAACACAGUAUCUUCUGAUCUGAUCGGGGAGUUUCGGAUCCAUCGCUCUCGCUGCUGGAGCACUUGCUUUUCUAACGGGUUGGCCUCUCACGUACAAAGUAACAAAUAUCGCCUGUUUUGUCUCAUCUGUCUUUCUAUGCUUAAAUUCUUUUUACCUCCCCACUAAGAAGGCCUAUUUCAGAGUGAUGUGGGACUGAUAGGGAUGUGAAUUUUGCCCCCUUUCAUUCACUCAAGGAAUCUUUAGUGAGCGCCUGCCAUGCAAAGGCUCUGUCCCGUGCUUUGGGGCUGAGCUGCGGGGAAAGGCUGGCUUGGGAACCCCUUUCCUCACAGAGUGCCUAUCCUGGGGAUUCACAGGAGGAAGCAGAGACUAGUAAAAU
rnacentral:lncRNA from 1 species